rnacentral:misc_RNA from 1 species
GUGUCAUCUUGAGUUACAUAUGCCUAAGUUCAUACCAAAUUAAAAUUCAUGAAAACUUUUAGAUACAGAACAAAGUGAUUCUUAGAUAUCUAAAUUUGCUUAGAAUUUGGGAGUUUUCAUCAUAACUUUAUUUUUUACAAAUUAAAUUUUUACAUUUUUUUGAAACUAAUUGAAUUUUACUUUGUUAAUAACUAUCCUUAUAUUUCAAAAACAAUAAUCUUUGUACCUAUCAAAUUUGGGGAAAGAAAAUGAGAUGUUA